GACGAACGCUGGCGGCGUGCCUAAUACAUGCAAGUAGGACGCAGUUGCGAACGGUGGAGUAAUGCGUAGGUAACUACCUAUUAGAGGGGAAUAACUAUUGGAAACGAUACCUAAUACCGCAUACUAAUAGAUUGAACUGUGUUGUAUUAGCUAGUAGGUAGGGUAAUGGCCUAUCGAUGCAAAGUUACAUAGCCGAGCUGGGAAGGUGAUCGGCCAAACUGGGACUGGGACACGGCCCAGACUCCUAAGGGAGGGAGCAGUAGGGAAUCUUCGGCAAUGGGGGGAACCCAUACCGAGCAACGCCGCGUGAGUGAAGAAGGUUUUCGGAUCGUAAAGCUCUGUUGUUAAGGAAGCGGUACUUAAAGAGAAAGGGACGGCUAACUACGUGCCAGCAGCCGCGGUAAUUC
rnacentral:rRNA from 1 species